rnacentral:lncRNA from 1 species
AAAAAAAAAAAAAGCAAUUUUACCAAGAAAUGCAUUUGCUAAAUAAAUUCAAAAUUAAUAUUCCCCAAAACAAGUAUUUGGUAGGUAUAACUGAUUCUUUGCCAAAUUGGUUUUUAGAAAAUUGGACUGUUUUCCAUCUUUAUUAGGCAUAUUAUAAAUACUAAAUAAGCUAUUGCAGAAAAAAAAAAAAGUGCCUACCAAACUGCCUAAUAAAUCAUAGCUGUAAUCCCUCCAACAUUCUGACUUCAAGUCUUGCCGUUUCUUUCUCCUGAAUAUUCCCCAUUCCUGUUCAUAUAAUCAUUAUCCUUCGGUAGGCUUUCACUCUCUUUAGGUAACUAUUCCAGUAGUUACUUGAUUAGCCUUAUUCCCCUCCACACUUAUUUUCAACACUACAGCAUGGAUGAUCUGUCUACCACACAAAUUUUAAAUUAUCUACAGUGUAGCACAUUUCACCUUUUUAUGUAUUUAUUCUCUAGUACCACUGAAGUACUUGCAUUUCCUUAAAUAUUCUUUUUGAAAAAGCAUCAAGUCUCUAUGCCUUUGCCUUUCUAACUGGAAUAUUGCCCCCUUCUUGCCUCCUGUCAGAAUUCUUACUCAUCUUUCAGGUUUUAGCUAAAGUGCCGCUUCCCUUGCAAAGCUUUCCCUGAUUCCCCCCAAGUAGAUUUCUAUGCUGCUACUGCUUAUUGCACAUGAUCCUGUUGUAAUGCAUAGAUUAUUGUAGUUUUGUUAGUUUGUCUGUCAUUCUAAUAGACUGUAAUUUCCUUGAAGGAGGGGAACACAUUUCAUCCUUUACAUACCAGUUCUAAGUGUAGUACCUGGACUAUACUAUUUAUUGAAUAUUUAUUAAAUUAAAAAAUGAAAAGAUCUAUUUAUAAGACUGUCUGCCUUCUCACCAUACCUCCACUUUACAUAUCAGGAAGCCGAGGCCCAAAGAAAUGAAGCUAUUUAGUGUGAGCCCAUGCCUUUUAAGUCCAAAUCUAUUACUUUUAUACCAUAGAGAAUCUUCUGAGUAGCGUCUGUAUACUAGUCAGUUCUUGCAAAUCAAAACUACAAUGAGUUGUCACCUCACACCAGUCAGAAUGGCCAUCAUUGAAAAAUCUACAAAUAGGGAGUUUCCGCUGUGGUGCAGAGAGUUAAUGAUCUGGCUUGUUUCUGAGGCACUGGUUUGAUGCCUGGCACAGUAGGUUAAGGAUCUGGCAUUGCUGCAGCUGUGGUGUAGGUCACAGCUCCAGCCCUGAUUUGAUCCCUGACCUGAGAACUUCCAUAUGCUGCAGGAGUGGGGAAAAAAAAAAAAUUAUAAUUUUUUUUUUAAAAAGUCUACAAAUAGACUUUUCUCCCUGAUGUGGAGAAAAGGGAACCCUUAUAUGCUGCUGGUAGGAAUAUAAACUGGUGCAGCCACUAUGGAAAACAGUAUGCAGGUUCCUUAAAAAAUUAAAAGUAGAGUUACCAUUUGAUCCAGCAAUCCCACCCCUGGGCUUAUAUCCAGAGAAAACUCUAAUUGGAAAAAAUACACAUACCCCAGUGUUCAUAGCAGCACUAUUUACAAUAGCCAAGACAUGGAAGCAACUUAAAUGUCCAUUGACAGAGGAAUGGGUAAAGAAGAUGUAAGAUUCCAUGCAUACAAAUGGAAUACUGCUCAUCCAUAAAAAAGAAGGAAAUAAUGCCUUUUGCAGCAACUUGGAUGGGCCUAGAGGUUACCAAAUUAAGUGAAGUAAAUCAAAGACAAGUAUCAUAUAAUAUCACUUAUAUAUGGAAUCUAUAAUCUGAUACAAAUGAAUUCAUUUAGAAAAUAGAAACAGACUCACAGUCAUAGAAAACAAGCUUAUGUAAAGGGGAAAGAGAAGGGGAGAUAAAUUAGGAGUUUGGGAUUAUCAAAUACAAACUACUAAUAUAUUAAAACAGAUAAACAACAGGAACCUGCUGUAUAGCACAGGGAACUAUAAUCAAUAUUUUGUAGUGGAAAAGAUUAUGAAAAAGAACACAUACUUAUAAAAUGUAUACAGGUAUAUGUAUGUAUGUAUAGCUGAAUCACUUUGCCGUACACCAGAAACUAACCAACAUUGUAAAUCCACUAUACUUCAGUUUAAAAGUGUGAGUGGGGGUGUGAGGGUGUGGGGGUGUGUGUAUACAACACACAUGCUAGUCAUUUCUGUUACGGAAAUAGCCUGUCUUGUCAGUUCAUUCAUCUCUAAUCUAGGGAAUAGGCAGAGGAGCAUAGUGAUUUGACAAGGUUCAUGUUUUCCUCCUUAUUCAGUUAUUUGAUUGCUUUUGUUUGGUUUUUAGUAAAUUCAGUGAAAUUCAAAGUAUUCUUUGUGUUAUUCCUUUCUUUUACCAAUCAUAGCACUCAAUUUUCUUAAGGAAUAAAUGUCUGAUGCAUUAGUCCAGUGGUUCUCAACCCAGGCAGUCCCCUCCCCCGCCCCAGCCCCACCCCCACCCUGGGGACAUUUGGUAAAAUAUCAUGAAACAUAUUUUUGAUUAUCACAUCUGAAGGAGUGCUACUGGUAUCUAGUAGGUUGAAAACCCCUGAUCUAAGGAAAAUUUUUACGUAGCCCUUCAUCCGUUGUCUGGCCUCUAUGAAACCACCAUGGAAAACAAACUCAUUCCUUCCCAGAGGGGAUAAGGAAGCCCUAAGUAAGUGCAGCAGACUCUGGAGGCAAUUGCCAUCAACUCUGCUCAUUUUCAAAAGAUUUCAUGCACCUUUCCCCCAGUUUAUUCAUAGCAGCUGCUUGGGUAUAGGUAGUCACAUAAAUAUGUAUUGCCUAAAUGAUUAAUAAAGUAUUUUAUGACUAAAAGAGCAACGUUUAUGUGUCUCUUACAAAAAAAAAUUAAAGGGAAGUCAAUCAUUGUGAGAGCUGAAUUUCUCUCUGUUCUUUUUAAACGAAUUAAUUACUUACAGGGAGAAGCAAAACUUUUAAAAAACAACUCUCAACUCCUCCACUUCUAUAAAUUAUCAAUAAUAGUUUUAAGGGGGAGACCAAUGAGCUUAUAAAUUAAAAAUGAUGUUUGAGAAACAAAAAAGAAGCUUUCAGAAUAGAGUAAUAUUAGAAUUGAUGCUUGAGCUCUCCAGGACCCUCAUUUAAAUUAUGAAUCCAGAACUGAUAUUGGGGCAUUUCUGAUGGAUUGUGGCUAGGCAGGAAGAAGCCAAGCACAUAGAGUAAGGUUAGAUUGAGCUCCCAAUUUAAAUAAUCAAGAUACAAAAUCUCAGAAGCAGUAUGUCUAUAGUGCAGCAUAUCUCGGGGUAGUUUUCCCUGGCCCCAAAGUCCCCAGCGCACUUAAACCACAUUUCAGGAAAACUUCCACUAAUAAUCUUUGUUACUGACAGUGAACUCUUCUGGGUUUUGAUCUUCGUUUUACAUCCCCAUUCAGGGGCCAGGAAAGACUAUUUACUCUCAGACCAACACUUGUAUUUCCUUAUUUUUUUAAUAAAAUGUAUUUCUUCAAUCUUAAAAGGUUUUAAAUGUAUAGGAUAAAUAAUAUGGGAAGCCAUAAAGAAAAUACAGGACACUCAAUCCCACCCAGAGGCAGUAAUGAUUAAUAUUUUUGUCCAUUUUUUCUAGAAAAUGUUUCUAUAAAUACAUUACAUAGUAGAAAUAAUAUCCUGUUUUUUUCCACUUUACGUUAUAAUAGGAACACUUCCCAUGCAAAUUAGAAUUCUUCAUAAAUAUUAUUCUAGUGGAUGCAAAAUAUGCUCUGCUAUGGAAAUAUAAUAGUUUACCAUUUUCCUACUGUUGGCCAAAAACAGAAUGCUUCAAACUUUACAUUAUUAUAAUCCUAAAAUCCUAGCAUUUAGGUCCAUGUUGGAUCCUACCCUUAACUUUUCAAGAAACUUACUUUAUGUUCAUUAUUUGACAAGAACAUUAGUUCCCAGUACAUGCAAUGUUCUUUCUCUCCAAAGAAGAAAGAAUUAUAUAUGAUAUUCUUUCUACCUGAUUUGCUCUUUCUCUCCUCUUUUUGCACAGUUAGUUCACUCUUCAAAUUUCAGGUCAAAAGUCACUUCCUCAGGGAAGCCUUCCCAAACUCUGUAUUUGAUUAUGGGUCUCUGUUACACACUCUAAUUGUACUGUGUUCUUUCCCAUAGUGUUUACCUCUGGUUGCAACAAUCCAUUUGUUUGUGUAUUAUUUGGUUAAUUUCUGAACCCCUCUUGGACUGGAAUACUAUAAUCAUCAUCUGGAUAAGCAGUGAUUAUAAUGCUGUUAUUAAACACAGGCCAGUUAAUGUGAUCUUAUUCAUAUCACCGACAAGAUGGGUUAAAGCUUGAGGUCGAAAUACAAUUAGUACACCUAGUCCAGAAAUAGUUAUGUGCCAGGUGUCAUGCUAGGUGCUGGGAAUAUAGAAGUGAGAAUGACAGGCAUGAUUUCAUCUUUCCUGCUUAUAGUGCAGUGCAACUUUUGGCAAACUUUUCCUGAAAAGAGGCAGAUAAAUUUUAGGCUUUCAGGCCAUGUGGUUUCUCUCACAACUAUUCAGCUUUGCCAUUGAAACACAAAAACAAUCAUCAACAAUACAUAAAUAGUUACCAACAAUACAUAUGUGAAAGUAUGUCUGGCUUCCAAUAAAACUUUAUUUACAAAAUCCAGGGGCUGGAUUUGAUCCAUGGGCUAUUAUUUACUGACAUCUAGUCUAACGGACAGGACUGCCAUUGAACAGAUCAUUUGAGAUGAUAGAUACUUCAAAAGAAAGGGACACGGUGCAAUAAAGUCACAUAGCAGAGCUGUCAAACCUAGUCUGGAGAAAAGAAUAAAUACUUUCUUGAGGAACAUGAUUUUAAGCCAAUAUUUCAGGAAGAAGAGGGUUUAUCCAGAUAAAAAUAGGGGCAACAGGCUUGAUGAAGACCUAAAGCAUGAAAAGAGCAAGAACAGAAGCAAAUCCAUCCUUAAACUUGAUGAUAGGGAGAGGGAAAUGAAAUCGUGUAGGGAUAAAGUAUAGAGUGAAAAGACAAACCAAGAGUUUUGAAAAAAUUUCAGAACUAGUACUUCCCAGAGGAAGAGAUGCCAGCAGGAAAGACUAAGAAGGAAUGAUCAAUGAGUGUAGCAGUAGCAGGAAACAUUCCAUCUGGAUGUGCAGAAUAUGUAAGUUGGAAGACAUUAGCCUAAAGGCUGGAAACCUCAGAGAACUGAUAUACUUUCUGAAAGUAUCAGACAUAUGGUUGGAACUGCAGAAGAAAUGUCCCCUUGCCCUUUGCAUUGCAUCAUUUGAUGACCAAGUGGUGUCCAUCUAGCCAGUUCUGUAUGACUUGGACAAAACAUGUUGCUUUCUGAAGCAGACAAUGUUCUGAAGGCAUCAAUAUCAGUAAUUUCAGCUUGUUGAAGAUGGAGGUUCUUUGUGUAAAAGGUCAGCCUGUCAGUAAAUAGCAUGCCACCCUGUCCUUUCAAGAUUAUAAGAAACUUUUAUAUAUGUGUUUUUAUACUUAAAAAAAAAAAAAAAGAGUAAUG